AUGGCCUUAAUGCACCCAUAAAAUGACACAGCACAGGGUUGCAGACUGGAUAAAAUGACAGGACCCAUCCGUAUGUUGUCUACAAAAGACCCAUUUUAAAC